rnacentral:lncRNA from 1 species
AUAGAAUGCCGCAACCAAACUUGCAUCAAGAAUUAGGUGACCUCAUGCAAUAUUUUUCAAGAAAAGGGCCUCUUACACAAUUGACAAAGGUUAUAUUCAGAUGCGCUAUUUGGUGGAUGUGGAAGGAAAGAUGUAGCAGAAUCUUUGAGUGUCAACACACAAACAAUGCUCAGCUAUUGUCAGAGAUUAUUAGAGACUCAAGAUCAUGUAUGGAAAAUGAUCUCAAAAUGGAGCACCUUACACAAAGACAAAAAGAUAUUUUUAUCAAAUUCAAUUUUGCUAUUAGCUAAAGAUCUUGGGAAAUGCUUCAAAAAGCAUUCUAUUUGAUUAUGAUUUCAUUUAAUUCUGCUACAUAUCAUGGCCUGCUAGUAUUUGUUCAUAUACAAAGGUUAUUCCGCAUUAUAUCCCAUCAACUGGUAUCAAAGCAAGGGUUUUGAUGAUUUAAUUUUUGUAUUUGAACAUGGAGACCAGUAAUGUUUCUCAUAUGAUUAGUUUAAAUAGAAACAAUUAGAUGAUAUAAAAACAAAGAAUGGAAGAUCUCUUGUAUUAUAAAGAUUUGUAUGGACAUUUAUAGGGGGAUAGUGCAAAACCCACAACUAUGACAGAUGAUAAGUGGAAGAUGUUAGAUCGAAAAACAUUUGGGUUUAUUCGAUAGUGACUUGAUGAUAGUGUCUUUCAUCAUGUUUCUACUGAAAUUUCUGCAUAUUCUCUUUGGAAAAAGUUGGAAAGUUUCGAUGAAACAAAAAAUAUGGCAACAAAGCUUUUUUGAUCAGAAAACUUGUGAACCUAAAAUAUAGAGAGGGUGCUUCUAUUGCUGAGCAUUUGAAUGAAAUGCAAAGUAUUACUAACUAGUUAUCCUCUAUGAAAAUGUCUCUUGAUGAUGAGUUACGGGCAUUGUUACUUCUUAGUUCAUUACUAGAAAGUUGGGAGACAUUGGUGGUUUCCCUCAGUAAUUCUGUGCUAGAUGAUGUUAUCACUAUAAGUCAAGUAACAAGCAGUUUGUUGAAUGAGGAGUUGAGAAGAAAGAGUUCAGCAACAUCUCAAAAUGAUUCACAGGCACUUAUCUCAGAGAACAGAGAAAGGUCAAAGUCUAGAAGCAGUUUACGCAUGAGUAGGAGCAAGUCAAGAUCAAGAAAAUAUAUUGUUUGCUAUAACUGUGGUGAGAAAGGACAUUACAAGAACCAAUGUAAGCAACCUAAGAAGAGCAAGAAAAAGGAAAAAAAAAAGUGGAGUAUAUAGAGUCAAAAGAUAAUAUCACAACUAUAGUGCAGGGUGGUGAUUAUUUGAUUUUGUCUCCUUCUGGUGAUAUUUUUUCUUGUGUGUGUUAGGAUCUUAAGUGGGUGAUUGACACAGGUGCUUCUUAUCAUGCUACACUACGGAGGGAGUUUUUUGCUACAUAUAGGUCUGGAAAUUUUGGUGUUGUCAAGAUGGGCAACUAUGGGGCACAAUAGACAUUAUAGGCAUGGGUGAUAAUCAUUUAAAGACCAACCUUGGCUGUAAGUUGGUGCUUAAGGAUGUGAGGUAUGUGGUUGAUUUGAGGUUAAAUUUAAUUUCAGUUGGAAGGCUAGAUGAUGAAGACUAUGAUAACAGAUUUCACAAAGGGCAAUGGAAGCUCAGCAAGGGUUCUCUUGUUAUAGCUAAUGGAAAGAAAUGUCAUACUUUGUACAGGUUGCAGGCUAAAACUUAUGGUGGGCAGUUAAAUGCUACAGAAAAAUACUUCAGCAUGGAGUUGUGGCAUAGGUGAUUGGGACACAUGAGCGAGAAGGGGCUGCAAGCUCUUUCCAAGAGAGAGGUAUUGCCAGACCUUAGUGGUAUACAUCUGAACCCUUGUAUUGAUUGUUUGGUUGGUAAACAACAUAGAGUUUCAUUUGCUAAUCCUAUUUUAUCUAGAAAAAUGCAUGCCUUAGACCGUGUUUAUACAGAUGUAUGUGGUCCUUUGAGGGCAAAAACUCCUGGUGGAUCUAUUGAUGUUCUUAGUAUAAGUGGUGCACUUUAUUUUGUCACUUUUAAAGAUAAUUUUUUCAGGAAAGUUUGGGCCUAUGCUUUGAAGACCAAAGAUCAAAUUAUUAAUGUCUUUAAAGAGUUUCAUGCUAGGGUUGAAAGGGAGACAAAAAGGCAAUUGAAAUGCAUAAGAUCAGAUAAUGAUGGUGAGUAUAUAUGAUUAUUUAAUGAUUAUUCUUAUUACUCAUAAUCAUAAUCAUCAAUAAGAAACUUCAGUAAAAAACCUGACUAAUAUUCUAAAUGAUUUUGGUAUAGUUUCUAGCCUUCAGUUAAAUCAUGCGAAAAGUAAAGUCUAUAUUAGCCCUUGCAUUGAGGAUAAAGAUGUUAUUGCACAUACCCUAGGGGUUAGUGAGGGAAAUCUGCCAGUUACAUAUCUUGGUCUCCCACUCAUAUCCACUGAUAUUCACAAAACCCAUUGUCAACCUAUCCUGCAAAAAAUAAAGAAUAGAAUUUCCUCCUGAAAAAAUAGGCUUCUUUCAAAAGCAAGACGACUUGAACUCAUUCGUUCGGUGUUGUACUCUUACUCUAUAUAUUGGUUUAAUACAUUUCUUCUGCCUAUUGGACUUCUCCAAGAUAAUGAACGAUUAUUAAUAAACUUCUUCUGGACUGGCACAAAUGAUAAGACAAUGCAUAUGGUAAAUUGGGACAACAUCUGCAAACCGAAAGAUGAAGGGGGGCUGAACUUGAGAAAUACUAGAGAUGAGAAUAAAGCAUGUUUGGUAAAGCAAUUGUGGGACCUUUUGUAAAACAAAUGUUCCUUAUGGUCACAAUGAGUUUCUGAUAGGUAUCUUUCAAAGGAAUCGAAUUGGGAAAUUUCAACAAGAACAUACCACUCUGCAGCUUGGAAAGGAAUUUUAAAGGCAAGAAAUUGGCUAAUCAAACAUAUUUCUUACGCAAUCUCUAUUGGAACAAAUACUAAUAUAUGGUAUGAUCCUUGGGUGAAUGAGAAAAGUAUAUUUUAAUUAUAUGGUGACAAAAUACGAAAAGACCUUGGGGCUCCCAAAGAUUUGAAGGUUUCCGAGUUCAUUGCUAAUGGUACUUGGUGUCUCCCUACUCCUAUUUCUCCUGAAAUGUUAUCACUUUGGCCGACUAUCACAGCUAUUCUAAUCAAGAACAACCCUUCAUAUGUACUUAUUUGGCUUCAUGACAAUGGUAAAUUUAGUGCCACAUCAGUAUGGAAUCAAAUUAAGCAAAGAAAUAACAAGUGGCUCCCGAGCAGUUGGACAUGGGAUCGACCGGGAUCACAGAGACAUUCCUUAUGUACAUGGCAGGCCCUUCUGAAUAAACUACCUACAAUAGACAAUAUGAAACGAAGAGGUAUCCAUCAUGUUAACCGAUGCUCCCUUUGCAUGCAACAAGAAGAAACUGUUGACCAUCUUUAUUUUGUUUGUGACUAUACUAAAUGGAUAUGGAAGGAGAUUCUCCAGCGAUUCGAACUCAAUAGAAUGUCGUAACCAAACUUGCAUAAGAAUUAGGUGACCUCAUGCAAUGUUUUUCAAGAAAAUGGCCUCUUACACAAUUGACAAAGGUUAUAUUCAGAUGCGCUAUUUGGUGGAUGUGGAAGGAAAGAUAUAGCAGAAUCUUUGAGUGUCAACACACAAACAAUGCUUAGCUCUUGAUAGAGAUUAUUAGAGACUCAAGAUCAUGUAUGGAGAACGAUCUCAAAAUGGAGCACCUUACACAAAGAGAAAAAGAUAUUUUUAUCAAAUUCAAUUUUGCUAUUAGCUAAAGAUCUUGGGCAUGAUGUUAAAAGCUAUACCCACAGGAAAUCUUGGCAUAUAUGGACUUUAAAUUUUAUUUGUU